rnacentral:lncRNA from 1 species
CAAGUCAAUUAGUACAUCUCUUCGAAGCUAUUUAAUGCGAUAAAAAUUUGCACUAGCUCCCUUUUGCCAUUGCCACGUAAAUCAGGCACAAUAUUGGCAUACAUUAUCGUGUUUGUGUGUAGGCCGUUAAACAAUGGCCCCUACCUCGGGAAGAAGAUUUUAAUCAAGCACCUGGAAAAGAAAACCUUCUACCGCUACCUUGGAGAGCGAAUUAGCUUACAACCGUAUCCUGAUGCAGUAGAAUAAAUUAAACAAGACAGAGACAAGACAGCCCAACAACGUAGCCCUAGACUUCCCUUAACUACCGGCGACGACAAAUUCUACAGGGAUUGGGGACCUCCUUUAGGAACUGUAACGGAAGGACUUAAAGCUGAGUAAAUUUUUACCUUUAUAACUUUUGUACCGAUUACCAGCGGGGUCUCGGUCACGGGCUUAGAAAAUUAACUUGUUAUCAGUAUACAAUAAAAAUGAUUUUUGUUAA